GGAAGUAUCAGUAAGGAGCCUCCGACAGAAAUGUAGAGACGGAGUUUCUGCAUGUUGGUCAGGCUGGUCUCAAACUCCCAACCUCAGGUGAGCCGCCCACCUUGGCCUCCCAAAGUGCUGGGAUUACAGGCGUGAGCCGCCGCGCCUGGCCCCUCAAGCUGUUUCGUGGCUGCCAAUGCCAACUGGGAAAAAGACACAGUGGUAGAAAGAAUUAGAGAUGAGACGCAGACUUGAGAAUUCUUUUCAAAUUCAAGAGCAGUAGUUUGUCUCAGGAGAUGCUGGUCCUGUCUCACUGUGAGAAUCCCUAUCAUAGACCUUCCCGGGCAAAGCCCUUUCCCGGGUUCCUGUCUGAGGAGGGAGGUGAAGCCUCUUGGGUCCUCAAGCAGCGAUUCUUACCCUUUCCCUGCCUGGGUCACUGCCCAUCCACAGCUUCCCGGGGAGAACAGUGACGGGAACUAGCUGACCGCUCGGAGCCUCCAGGCCAGUCCCUUUCUGUGAAGACUCACAAGGCCUUACUCGUUGCGUAACAUCCCAAAGCCGUAGUUACGUCAUCUGUAAAAUGGAGAUAAAAAUCCCACUUCACAUGGUUGUUGGGGUGAUUAAAGGAGAUAAUAUAGGCCAGGCAUGGUGGCUCACACCUGUAAUCCCAGCACCUU
rnacentral:lncRNA from 10 species